rnacentral:rRNA from 1 species
UGAGUUUGAUCCCCCUGGCUCAGAUUGAACGCUGGCGGCAGGCUUAACACAUGCAAGUCGAGCGGUAGCACAGGGGAGCUUGCUCCCUGGGUGACGAGCGGCGGACGGGUGAGUAAUGUCUGGGAAACUGCCUGAUGGAGGGGGAUAACUACUGGAAACGGUAGCUAAUACCGCAUAACGUCGCAAGACCAAAGAGGGGGACCUUCGGGCCUCUUGCCAUCAGAUGUGCCCAGAUGGGAUUAGCUAGUAGGUGGGGUAAUGGCUCACCUAGGCGACGAUCCCUAGCUGGUCUGAGAGGAUGACCAGCCACACUGGAACUGAGACACGGUCCAGACUCCUACGGGAGGCAGCAGUGGGGAAUAUUGCACAAUGGGCGCAAGCCUGAUGCAGCCAUGCCGCGUGUGUGAAGAAGGCCUUCGGGUUGUAAAGCACUUUCAGCGAGGAGGAAGGUGGUGAGCUUAAUACGCUCAUCAAU